rnacentral:misc_RNA from 1 species
AGACAAACACAAAAACCAGGUGGUACUUAAGUGCUCUUAUAUAUAUAUACACGUAUGUAUAUAUGUUGGAUAAGGAGAGGUGAGAUGUUGAUGAUCGAUAAGGUCUACUUAAUUUUUGAAUUGAGAAGGAUGCUUCAUUUGCCAGGAUGAAUGGUGUUAUUAUUAGGGAAAAGGAAUUUUCAUUGAUUUAGCACCUUUCAUUUUGGUAUUGUAUUAAAGUGAUUCAUAUAUAGCACAUUAUGG